AAUUGGAGGGCAAGUCUGGUGCCAGCAGCCGCGGUAAUUCCAGCUCCAAUAGCGUAUAUUAAAGUUGUUGCAGUUAAAAAGCUCGUAGUUGAAUUUCGGGAUUGACGUGAUGGUUGUGCCUUAAGGGGUAUGAACUGUUGCUGUUGAUUUCUCACCUUCUGGAGAAACUUGAUGUCCUUAAUUGGGUGUCUUGCGGAUCCAGGACCUUUACCUUGAAAAAAUUAGAGUGUUUAAAGCAGGCAUUCUGCUCGAAUACAUUAGCAUGGAAUAAUAGAAUAGGACGGCAUGGUUCUAUUUUGUUGGUUUCUAGGAUCACCGUAAUGAUUAAUAGGGAUAGUUGGGGGCAUUAGUAUUCAAUUGUCAGAGGUGAAAUUCUUGGAUUUAUUGAAGACUAACUACUGCGAAAGCAUUUGCCAAGGAUGUUUUCAUUAAUCAAGAACGAAAGUUAGGGGAUCGAAGACGAUCAGAUACCGUCGUAGUCUUAACCAUAAACUAUGCCGACUAGGAAUCAGACGAUGUUAAUUUUUUAAUGACUCGUUUGGCACCUUACGGGAAACCAAAGUGU
rnacentral:rRNA from 1 species